GCCCCGGUACCCCAACCGGUAGAGGGAGCCGACUCAAACUCGGUCCAGUGUGAGUUCGAAUCUCACCCGGGGCACCA
rnacentral:tRNA from 1 species